rnacentral:tmRNA from 1 species
GGGGGUGACUGGCUUCGACGCUGGUUGCGAAGCCAUCGGAGCAUGCCGAGGGGCAGAUGACCUCGCUAAUCCACCUGCAAAACAAUAGUUGCCAACGACGACAACUACGCGCUGGCCGCCUAAUCCGGCCAGCCCUUUCACUUGGCUCGCCUCUACGGCCGAGGGUUGAAAGGUCAACUAUAGAGGCUCGCGCGCCAGGCCGGUCCGUUGCCUGGCCGCUAAAAGUAAUCGGACUCGCCGGGGUGUGCGUCAGUCUGCCGACCUGCGCACCGGUUAACUCGAAGGCAGACUAUGCAUGUAGUAGCCGGUGUGUGUAGGAUCUGCGGACGCGGGUUCGAUUCCCGCCACCUCCACCA